rnacentral:rRNA from 1 species
GACGAACGCUGGCGGCGUGCUUAACACAUGCAAGUCGAACGGAAAGGCCCUGCUUUUGCGGGGUGCUCGAGUGGCGAACGGGUGAGUAACACGUGAGUAACCUGCCCUUGACUUUGGGAUAACUUCAGGAAACUGGGGCUAAUACCGGAUAGGAGCUCCUGCUGCAUGGUGGUGGUUGGAAAGUUUCGGCGGUUGGGGAUGGACUCGCGGCUUAUCAGCCUGUUGGUGGGGUAGUGGCUUACCAAGGCUUUGACGGGUAGCCGGCAUGAGAGGGUGACCGGCCACAUUGGGACUGAGGUACGGCCCAGACUCCUACGGGAGGCAGCAGUGGGAAAUAUUGCACAAUGGGCGGAAGCCUGAUGCAGCGACGCCGCGUGCGGGAUGACGGCCUUCGGGUUGUAAACCGCUUUCGCCUGUGACGAAGAGUGAGUGACGGUAAUGGGUAAAGAAGCACCGGCUAACUACGUG